rnacentral:rRNA from 1 species
UACACUCCUACGGGAGGCAGCAGUGGGGAAUUUUGGACAAUGGGCGAAAGCCUGAUCCAGCCAUGCCGCGUGCAGGAUGAAGGCCUUCGGGUUGUAAACUGCUUUUGUACGGAACGAAACGGCCUUUUCUAAUAAAGAGGGCUAAUGACGGUACCGUAAGAAUAAGCACCGGCUAACUACGUGCCAGCAGCCGCGGUAAUACGUAGGGUGCAAGCGUUAAUCGGAAUUACUGGGCGUAAAGCGUGCGCAGGCGGUUAUGUAAGACAGUUGUGAAAUCCCCGGGCUCAACCUGGGAACUGCAUCUGUGACUGCAUAGCUAGAGUACGGUAGAGGGGGAUGGAAUUCCGCGUGUAGCAGUGAAAUGCGUAGAUAUGCGGAGGAACACCGAUGGCGAAGGCAAUCCCCUGGACCUGUACUGACGCUCAUGCACGAAAGCGUGGGGAGCAAACAGGAUUAGAUACCCGUGUAGUCC